rnacentral:tRNA from 1 species
AGGAUAAUAGUUAAAUUUAUAACAUUUAAUUUGCAUUUAAAAUUUAUUGGUUGCCAAUUUAUCUU